GAUGAACUCUGGCGGCGUGCCUAAUACAUGCAAGUCGAGCGAACGGACGAGAAGCUUGCCUCUCUGAUGUUAGCGGCGGACGGGUGAGUAACACGUGGAUAACCUACCUAUAAGACUGGGAUAACUUCGGGAAACCGUAGCUAAUACCGGAUAAUAUUUUGAACCGCAUGGUUCAAAAGUGAAAGACGGUCUUGCUGUCACUUAUAGAUGGAUCCGCGCUGCAUUAGCUAGUUGGUAAGGUAACGGCUUACCAAGGCAACGAUGCAUAGCCGACCUGAGAGGGUGAUCGGCCACACUGGAACUGAGACACGGUCCAGACUCCUACGGGAGGCAGCAGUAGGGAAUCUUCCGCAAUGGGCGAAAGCCUGACGGAGCAACGCCGCGUGAGUGAUGAAGGUCUUCGGAUCGUAAAACUCUGUUAUUAGGGAAGAACAUAUGUGUAAGUAACUGUGCACAUCUUGACGGUACCUAAUCAGAAAGCCACGGCUAACUACGUG
rnacentral:rRNA from 1 species